GAUGAACGCUGGCGGCGUGCCUAAUACAUGCAAGUCGAGCGAACAGAUAAGGGGCUUGCUCCUUUGACGUUAGCGGCGGACGGGUGAGUAACACGUGGAUAACCUACCUAUAAGACUGGGAUAACUUCGGGAAACCGGAGCUAAUACCGGAUAACAUAUUGAACCGCAUGGUUCAAUAGUGAAAGGCGGCUUUGCUGUCACUUAUAGAUGGAUCCGCGCCGUAUUAGCUAGUUGGUAAGGUAACGGCUUACCAAGGCAACGAUACGUAGCCGACCUGAGAGGGUGAUCGGCCACACUGGAACUGAGACACGGUCCAGACUCCUACGGGAGGCAGCAGUAGGGAAUCUUCCGCAAAGGGCGAAAGCCUGACGGAGCAACGCCGCGUGAGUGAUGAAGGUCUUCGGAUCGUAAAACUCUGUUAUCAGGGAAGAACAAAUGUGUAAGUAACUGUGCACAUCUUGACGGUACCUGAUCAGAAAGCCACGGCUAACUACGUG
rnacentral:rRNA from 1 species